rnacentral:rRNA from 1 species
UACGUAGGAUGCUAGCGUUGUCCGGAUUUACUGGGCGUAAAGCGCGCGCAGGCGGCACUGUAAGUAAGGUGUGAAAUCUCCCUGCUCAACGGGGAGGGUGCACUUUAGACUGCAGAGCUAGAGGACGGUAGAGGGGGGUGGAAUUGCUGGUGUAGCGGUGAAAUGCGUAGAGAUCAGCAGGAACACCCGUGGCGAAGGCGGCCCCUGGGCCGAACCUGACGCUGAGGCGCGAAGGCUAGGGGAGCGAACGGG